UUGUAUUUGCAAAUGCGGAUGUGCGUGGUUGCUCCAAGUGGACGCCGUCAGAAAGGUCCCCACACAUAGACCCAACUUCCAAGUCCGUAACCGGAGCAUACGGAUAGCGCAAACGAGGAAAGCGUUGCGUCUGUGUGCUGCUGUGCAGUAAUGGAGGCGUGACUCUCACUGGUGAUCAGGACUGUGGAUCCCCACACGGCGAAGUUAUUAUUAGAACUUCCGAGAAAGGCAGACAAAGGAUUGCGACGAUCACCGUCCUGAGGGCAGUGCUCCCACGAGCACCCCAAUCCCCCUUUCCAAAAGGAAGUCGCGGUAAUGGUACUCAAAAGGAAUUUAUGGGCUGCUUUUCUCUGUUGUUGUCUAAAAUUGGAUUACUUUAUUGAUUUUUCGUUUUCACAUUUAUUAAUAAGGAGGGAGAUUAUGCUUCA